AUGACCUAUGAUUUGACAGACCGUGCAGCUGUGUAUGUCUGUCAUUCUGUAGGCCAAUA
rnacentral:pre_miRNA from 1 species